AGAGUUUGAUCCUGGCUCAGAACGAACGCUGGCGGCAGGCCUAACACAUGCAAGUCGAGCGCUUCCCUUCGGGGAGGAGCGGCGGACGGGUUAGUAACGCGUGGGAAUAUACCCAGUUCUAAGGAAUAGCCACUGGAAACGGUGAGUAAUACCUUAUACGCCCUUCGGGGGAAAGAUUUAUCGGAAUUGGAUUAGCCCGCGUUAGAUUAGAUAGUUGGUGGGGUAACGGCCUACCAAGUCGACGAUCUAUAGCUGGUUUGAGAGGAUGAUCAGCAACACUGGGACUGAGACACGGCCCAGACUCCUACGGGAGGCAGCAGUGGGGAAUCUUAGACAAUGGGCGCAAGCCUGAUCUAGCCAUGCCGCGUGAGUGAUGAAGGUCUUAGGAUCGUAAAGCUCUUUCGCCAGGGAUGAUAAUGACAGUACCUGGUAAAGAAACCCCGGCUAACUCCGUGCCAGCAGCCGCGGUAAUACGGAGGGGGUUAGCGUUGUUCGGAAUUACUGGGCGUAAAGCGCACGUAGGCGGAUUGGAAAGUUGGGGGUGAAAUCCCAGGGCUCAACCCUGGAACUGCCUCCAAAACUAACAGUCUAGAGUUCGAGAGAGGUGAGUGGAAUUCCAAGUGU
rnacentral:rRNA from 1 species